rnacentral:rRNA from 1 species
AAAAGUAAGUAAGGGCACAUGGCGGAUGCCUUGGCUCUCGGAGGCGAUGAAGGACGUGAUAAGCUGCGAUAAGCUGCGGGUAGGUGCAAAUGACCUUUGAUCCGCGGAUUUCCGAAUGGGACAACCCGGUACUUUGAAGAAGUAUCAUCCUGCAUUGCAGGAGGCUAACGCAGGGAACUGAAACAUCUUAGUACCUGCAGGAAAAGAAAAUAAACAAUGAUUCCCCCAGUAGUGGCGAGCGAACGGGGAAUAGCCCAAACCAUCCAUGUUACGGCAUGGGUGGGGUUGUAGGACCACGCCGUGGCAAGAAAGUUGGUGAGCAGAAUGUUCUGGAAAGUACAGCCAUAGAGCAUGACAGCUGCGUAUGCGAAGCCAAGCGAAGCCUAGUGGUAUCCUGAGUAGCGCGGAGCACGAGGAAUUCUGCGUGAAUCUGCCGGGACCAUCCGGUAAGGCUAAAUACUCCCGAGAGACCGAUAGUGAACCAGUACUGUGAAGGAAAGGUGAAAAGCACUUCGAACAGAAGAGUGAAAUAGUUCCUGAAACCAUGUGCCUACAAGCGGUCGGAGCACCUUCUGGUGUGACGGCGUGCCUUUUGCAUAAUGAACCUACGAGUUACUUUUUCCGGCGAGGUUAAGGAUUUCAGAUCUGCAGCCGAAGCGAAAGCGAGUCUGAACAGGGCGUAUAGUCGGAAGGAGUAGACGCGAAACCAAGUGAUCUACCCUUGGGCAGGUUGAAGGAUGGGUAACACCAUCUGGAGGACCGAACCAAUAAGCGUUGAAAAGCUUCUGGAUGACCUGAGGGUGGGGGUGAAAGGCUAAUCAAACUUGGAGAUAGCUCGUACUCCCCGAAAUGCAUUUAGGUGCAGCCUUGACUUAUACUGGCAUGAGGUAGAGCGACUGAUAAGAUGCGAGGGCUUCACCGCCUAUCAAGUCUUGACAAACUCCGAAUGCGUGUCAGUUCUAUGUCAGGAGUGAGGGCAUGGGUGCUAAGGUCCAUGUCCUAAAGGAGAACAAUCCGGACCAACAGCUAAGGUCCCGAAAUGAAUACUAAGUUGAACUAACGAAGUCAGAUUGCUAAGACAGCUAGGAUGUUGGCUUGGAAGCAGCCAUUCAUUUAAAGAGUGCGUAACAGCUCACUAGUCGAGGAGUUUGGCGUGGAUAAUAAUCGGGCAUAAGUAUUCUACCGAAGCUUUGGGAUGAGAAAUCAUCGGUAGGGGAGCAUUCCACUCGGCGUCGAAGGUGAAGCGCGAGCUUUGCUGGAGCGUGUGGAAAAGCAAAUGUAGGUAUAAGUAACGAUAAAGGGGGUGGGAAACCCCCUCGCCGAAAGACUAAGGUUUCCUGAUCAACGCUAAUCGGAUCAGGGUAAGUCGGGUCCUAAGGCUCAGCCGAACGGCGAGGCCGAUGGCAGAACCGGUUAAUAUUCCGGUACUACCUGUGGGAGUGACGUGGAGACGGAGUCGUGACAGCGCCGCGGACUGACGGAAUAGUCCGUUGAAGGGUGUAGAUGCUGAUUGUUCCAGGCAAAUCCGGAGCAAGAGUCGAACCUGACAGUAUGGAGCGUUCUUAGAACAAUCCAAUAGUGCGUGUAAUCAUACUUCCAAGAAAAUCCGCUAAACUUAAUCCUGCAGGUACCCGUACCGCAAACGGACACACGUAGUCGGGUUGAAUAUACUAAGGCGCUUGAGUGAUUCACGGUUAAGGAACUAGGCAAACUGACCCUGUAACUUCGGGAUAAAGGGUCCUCGCUUUACGGCGAGGCGCAGAGAAUAGGUCCAGGCAACUGUUUAACAAAAACACAGGGCUGUGCAAAAUUGAAAGAUGAAGUAUACAGCCUGACACCUGCCCGGUGCUGGAAGGUUAAGAGGAGAUGUCAUCGCAAGAGAAGCAUUGAAUUGAAGCCCCAGUAAACGGCGGCCGUAACUAUAACGGUCCUAAGGUAGCGAAAUUCCUUGUCGGGUAAGUUCCGACCUGCACGAAUGGUGUAAUGAUCUGGACGCUGUCUCAACCGUGAGCUCAGUGAAAUUGUAGUAUCGGUGAAGAUGCCGAUUACCCGCGAUGGGACGAAAAGACCCCGUGAACCUUUAC